rnacentral:lncRNA from 1 species
CCAGAAUUCUGGACGUAGGUAGUGCUGGCCUUGGUCUCAUGACUCAGAAUCUUUAUUCCUCCCAGUCUCCAGUAUGAAUACUUCCCCAGGCUUGGUACCUUAGGCUAUCAAGAGAGGUAUACUAUAGCACCUGAUAUCAUCUUGCAGUAGGAAGGGGGAAGUCCCGGAGAGACUUCUAUCUUCUAACACUUUAUCAGUUUGUCGUGAAGAUAAGAAUUUCCAGAAAACCCACAUUCAGAGGACUUCUACCAAUUGGCCAGAAUGCCAUGAGGGCACCACUAUCAACAAGAAAGGUGUCGAUCGGGCUCGGCUGAUAGGCUGAAAGGAGAUGAUUACCUCAGCACUGAGCUGCCCCAAGCUUAUCAGCAAGGGAGAGCAAAGGGUGGACAGACUGACGGACAGGCGGACGUGUAAGCUCAGAGGCAGUACUUCGUACUCAGUUGCCGUGUUCUCUGUCGAUUGAAAGCUUAGGGUGUUUUGGUGUCUGUGGUCCCUGCUGCCACCCGCUGCUACAGGAAAGGAAACCUGUUCUGCAGUGAUGCUGAUGGCUGCGGACUCGUGACUGAGAAUGAGGGACAUUGAAGGCUUCUGUGAUAACCUCCUCGCCUCACCCUAGCCCCGCCCCCCCCCAAAAAAAAGAAAAAGAAAAAAAAAAAGAAACGGUACAGACAGAAAGCUAUUGAGCAGUCCUUACAAACUGGAAUAACGAUGCUAAGAGAAUAGCUCUUCAGAGCUGAUGGUUCUGGGCGGGGCGUGUUUACAGACCACGUGACCCAGUUUCUUUAAAGUGCUGGCUAUUGGAGUUUGAUCAUGCGCCGAAGGCAGAGAUUGGCAGAUCCCUGGAGUUCAAUGAUUAACUGUACCUGGCCUUCUUGGGCAGGUUUCAGGCCAACGAGAGAUUUUUGUCUUAGAAACAAGGCAGAUGGUGUCAGAGUAGUGACAACAUAUGUUGUCCUCUGGCCUCCACGCACGAACAUGAACAUGCAUGAGCAUGAACACAUACCUCAAGCAGAAAACAUUUGUAGCACUUAUUAGUGAUCAGAAUAGGAUGCCCGUGCACGGCCAUUCACUGCAAUUGUUGCUUAGCUGAACGUUGGCCUUGUUUACGAUGUCCUCUGAGUUCAGCGAGAUGCCCCUUUAAACCUCUAGGAGUUAAGCCUUAACAUAACACUACAUCACAGCAACUCUAUUGCCCAAAUCAGCCACUGGUUUAAGGAGCGUUUCCUACCAUCGUCUGGCUAGCCAUGCUUCAGGGAGUCUUCUGAGAACUUUCUAGGAAAGAAACCAUUCCUCCUUGACUACGAAGAGAACUCUUUCUUCAUCUCAAGGAUGACGAGUGGGAACAUCAUGAUGCCUGAAACAUCAGCCGUGGUGAGAGGAUGGCUCAGGAAAAGGUCACAGAACUAAAAAAAGUUAGCUCUACCGGCCCUGAAAUGCAUUACUUCCCAGCUUCUUAUGAUGUGGGAUGACAUAAUAAACUCCUCCUUGUGUAUGGAUUCAGACCUGGCUUUCUGGGACUCCGAAGUCCCAGGCUCUCCGUUUCAGUUAAGACAUAGGCUUCUCCAGCAGCAGCUCUCUUAUUGAGGUUCAGUCUGUGGGACACAGGGCAGUUCUUUGAUGUGUUCAAGCCACUGGGUCAUAUCCCACAAAGCCACGGCAGCCUUGAAAAAUAAUCACUAGGUACAGCAGUGUGUGCUUGCUGUUUCCAGAAACCAUCUAGAAUUGAGCAUCAAGCUUAGGACUCCGAAUUACAGAACACCCAUCACUGCACAGAUCUACAUCCGAAUAUACAGAACACCCAUCACUGCACAGAUUUCAUCUAAAAAGAUAAUCUGAAGAGAUGUGCUGCCUUGCCUACAGUCAUAAAACAGAAUACCACGGGGAAAUAAAAAUAAGAGUUUGCAUUAUAUCCUGACAUUUCUUAGAGGGCUUAAGUAAAGCCACACAGACCAAGAAGAACCUGGGUGAAGAAAGGAUCAGAAGACCCUAGAGGACACGGCAAACCCACCCAGGGGAAUGGCAUAGCUGUGCGUUGUCACUCCGUCUGAGCAUUUCUCAAAGUGUGGGAAGAGCCAUCCAGAGGAGGGGAAAAGCCACAUCAGUGAGAAGCAAGGAGGGUACAGAGUGAUGACUGACACCCAGGUCCUAAGAAAGCAGUUGUUCUCAACCUUCCCAGAGCUGUGACCCCUGAAUACAGUUCCUCAUGUUGUGCUGACCCCCCAGCCACAGAAUUAUUUUCGUUGCUACUUCAUUAACUGACAUUUUGCUACUCUCGAAAAUCAUAAUGCAAAUAUCUGUGUUGUCUUCGGCAACCCGUGACAGGGUCAUUCGACUCGCUAAGGGGUGGAGACCCACAGGUUGAGAACUGUUGUGCUAAAGCGGGUGGCUGGCUCCUCUCUGCUGAGUACUGCAAGCUCCCACUGAAACCUGUGAUUGGUGACUUGGGGUAGAGGUGGCCAGGGUCUGCUUAUCAAAGCUACCUGUUGCAAUACUAGAAGGAAAACUGAAACACAGACCUAGAAUCUAACCAUUCUCGCAAUAAAGAACCCAUGCACGUGUGCGUGCGUACACAGAAGUCGAAGGAAGAACCUGACUUAUAAUGUUUAAAACAUAAUAAGUGUCCUCUGACCACAAGGUUCAUAUAAGCCGCAGGGCAGUAAGCAUAGCGCUGAAGCCGAAAGCUCAGUCUGCGCCCACAGCUCAGGAGAUGAUAUCCCUGCUCCCCUACACUUGGGGAUACGGACUUCAGCGCCUCCACCUAGAGGAUGACUGUGUCCUCUUAGUCUACCUUCUGUUGUUAUAACUAGAUACUGCUGACUGGGAAAUGUAUUUCUCUCAUCCCCAGAGACCGAGAAACCUAAUAUAAAAGCACUGGCGCUUUGUCAGGGCCCGAUUGCUACACUGUCCCAAGAUGAAAGGUGGUAUGGAAGAGAGAGAGAGAGAGAGAAAACGAGGGGGAGAGAGAUCAUUUAUGCUUUUAUCAUGAACUCCCUCAACAACCCAUCAUUAAACCCCCUAAGGGCUGUGACCUCAGGAUCUCAUGCCCUCUUA